AGAGCCUGAAUCAGUGUGUGUGUUAGUGGAAGCGUCUGGAAAGGCGCGCGAUACAGGGUGACAGCCCCGUACACAAAAAUGCACAUACUGUGAGCUCGAUGAGUAGGGCGGGACACGUGGUAUCCUGUCUGAAUAUGGGGGGACCAUCCUCCAAGGCUAAAUACUCCUGACUGACCGAUAGUGAACCAGUACCGUGAGGGAAAGGCGAAAAGAACCCCGGCGAGGGGAGUGAAAAAGAACCUGAAACCGUGUACGUACAAGCAGUGGGAGCCUCUUUUAUGGGGUGACUGCGUACCUUUUGUAUAAUGGGUCAGCGACUUAUAUUCUGUAGCAAGGUUAACCGAAUAGGGGAGCCGAAGGGAAACCGAGUCUUAACUGGGCGUUAAGUUGCAGGGUAUAGACCCGAAACCCGGUGAUCUAGCCAUGGGCAGGUUGAAGGUUGGGUAACACUAACUGGAGGACCGAACCGACUAAUGUUGAA
rnacentral:rRNA from 1 species